UACGUAGGUGGCUAGCGUUGUCCGGAUUUACUGGGCGUAAAGAGCGCGCAGGCGGUCGUUCAAGUCGAGUGUGAAAGCCCCCGGCUCAACUGGGGAGGGUCACUCGAUACUGAUCGACUUGAAGGCGGGAGAGGGAAGCGGAAUUCCCGGUGUAGUGGUGAAAUGCGUAGAUAUCGGGAGGAACACCCGUGGCGAAGGCGGCUCUCUGGGACGGUACUGACGCUGAGACGCGAAAGCGUGGGGAGCGAACAGG
rnacentral:rRNA from 1 species